GCAGUAGCCGCGGUAAUACGGAGGGUGCAAGCGUUAAUCGGAAUUACUGGGCGUAAAGCGCACGCAGGCGGUCUGACAAGUCAGAUGUGAAAUCCCCGGGCUUAACCUGGGAACUGCAUUUGAAACUGUCAGGCUGGAGUCUUGUAGAGGGGGGUAGAAUUCCAGGUGUAGCGGUGAAAUGCGUAGAGAUCUGGAGGAAUACCGGUGGCGAAGGCGGCCCCCUGGACAAAGACUGACGCUCAGGUGCGAAAGCGUGGGGAGCAAACAGGAUUAGAGACCCGCGUAGUCCCUGUCUCUUAUAC
rnacentral:rRNA from 1 species